UUUUCAAAGCUAUUGGACAGAACAAUUCAUCCCCGUUUCUCUAUUGGACCGAGCAGAACGCCGAAGAAAAAUCGUCUCCGACUGUCGACGGCGAGCACUUGGGUUUUAGGAAUCGAUAACUUCCAGCUAUUGUAAGGGUUUUUCUCCAUUAUUGUUGUGUUUAGGGUUCGUACGUCUUUAACCCAUUUCUCUGUUGGACAGAACAAAUCGCCCAUUUUCAAGUAGUAGUUAACGGUCGACGGCGAGCACUUGGGACUUCAGAUCGACGACUUCCAACUAUUGUAAGGGCUUUUCUCCAUUAUUGUCGUGUUUAGAGUUUCUGCGUGUUUCAGUUUCGAAAUUAAUGUCGGGACAAAGCUCCGUUUCUGGUUUGUGUUCUGAGUUUGAAAUUGUGUCAGCACAUUUUUAUUCAUAUUCAUUUAUCUUUUCAUGAAGAGUAGUAACCCCAAAAUUUGUGAAGGUAGAAUCCAGUAAUUUGAUAAGUUUGAAAUCUAAAAUACCCAUGGUGUAAAAAUUAGCAACACAUUUAACAUGAAACAAAAUUGCUAUAACUGGAGAUAUUUGGCAUAUAAAUUGUAAAACCAAAGUCUUCAGUUGGCUUUAUUUUAUUUAUUUGUCUUAGCCUACCUCAAGUUGAUGCAUUUCCACCAAAUCUAAAGAAGCUGACGAUUUCAAGCACCCUACUUGAUUGGGAUCACUGUCUACUCUAGGAAUGUUGGAAAAUCUUGAGAUCCGUCAGUUGAAAGAUGAUGCAUUUAAGGGAGACCGAUGGCAGACAGAGAAGGGAGGAUUCCGUAAUCUCAAAUUCUUGUAUAUUGGAAUACUGAUUUUGUAUUUUGGGAGACACUUAGUUUUGUUUUUGUAAUUGAACUAGGACCGACUGAUCUUGUUAUUUGGUGCAAGUUGCAUCGUGAUUAACUGUAUUUAUGGUUUCUAUUAAUGAAAAGGCUUUUCAUAUUACAUUUGAACAUUCUCCUUCCAGGUUAUUAUUCAAUGUUCAGAAUAUUGUAAUGAAUGAUAUAGCAGUUAUAUACUUUUAAGAAGAUGUUUAUGUAACUAGUGAAUGAUAUAGCAGGUUAUUCAAUGUUCAGAAUAUCUUAGUGAAUGAUAUAGCAGUUAUAUACUUGGCGAUUUCAUGUAACCAACUUGUCUUCGUCAUGCAACCAGCUUGUAUUGAGUAAAUGUGCUGGCUAUUGGUUACCUGAUUUUGUAAUUAGAUGCAAGUUGCAUCGUUUAAUCGCAG
rnacentral:lncRNA from 1 species